rnacentral:rRNA from 1 species
AUUGAACGCUGGCGGCAUGCCUAACACAUGCAAGUCGAACGAGUAGAGGAAGGGUGAGUAAUGUCUGGGAAAGUGCGUGAUGGAGGGGACUAAAGACUGGAAAAGGUAGCUAAAACUGCAUACCAUACGAUAUGCCCAUGUUGGAUUCGCGAGUCGGUGGGGUAAAGGCUCACCUGGGCGACGAGCCCGAGCUGGUCUAAGAGGAUAACCGGGCACACUGGAACUGAGACACGGGCCAUACUCCUACGGGAGGCAGCAGUGGGGAAUAUUGGACAAUGGGCGCAAGCCUGAUGCAGCCAUGCCGCGUGGAUGAAGAAGGCCUUCGGGUUGUAAAGUACUUUCAGCGGGGAGGCGUUACCCGCAGAAGAAGCACCGGCUAACUCCGUGCCAGCAGCCGCGGUAAUUC